GUUGGUCUGCGACAGGUUCCCCUGACUGUGCAGACGCUCCGUGGCGACCGGACGCACGCCGGUACCGAUUUGCAGC
rnacentral:tRNA from 1 species